UCAGGAAGUCAACUUUGCAAUGGCAGGUUCUGUUAAGAAAGGUCAAUGAUGAGUUUUUGGUUGCUUUGAAAAAAUUUAGAAUGAUGCAUGAAUGCACUUUUUUGUUUUUUUAUUCUUUUUUAUCCUUGACAGUGUGCCAAACUUGAUCUAACUUGUUGUUUGAGAACCACCAACCUAUUCUUUCUUUCAAUUCAACCUUACUUAACCUCUUCUUAAUGCUUUCAAACUCCUCUUUGACUUACUUACCCUUGUCUUACAAGUCUUUUUUUCUUUGCUUGGUACAAUUGAGUUGAGCUGGUAGCUG
rnacentral:lncRNA from 1 species